AAACUCAUAACACUUCAAUUCACCAACCUUCUCAACAUUCGUGAGUUACUCAUAACGGUCCCAAACCAACUCCAAACCACAUAAAACUAACUCCAAACCUCUUCAAACUAAUUCCAAACCAUUUUAACUAAUUCCAAGCCUCAUUUAACUAAUUCCAAGCCACAUCAAUUACUCAUAACGGUCCCAAACCAACUCCAAACCACAUAAAACUAACUCCAAACCUCUUCAAACUAAUUCCAAACCAUUUUAACUAAUUCCAAGCCUCAUUUAACUAAUUCCAA
rnacentral:lncRNA from 1 species